rnacentral:sRNA from 1 species
UUCUAACGUGUUUGAUUUGCAGUUUCAAAUGUAACAAUUAAAGCCACACACGUUACAACAUAAUCGAUAUGUAUAGCAUAGCGAAAACUGCAAGAAUAUCAGAAGUAGCAACGAAACUGAUUAUUUGAUUAGACAGUGAAAGGUAUCAAUAAUGAACAUAAGAUAAUUUUUCCUAUUAAUAAUGAAAUUACAACAACAGAAGACUACACUAAAAGGUACAAAUACAAUGAUCCGAGAAAAUUACAAGUGCAAAAGUGAUGAACGCUCUUUAAUGUGCUUCACAAUGCUCUUUCAACAUAGUUUGCUAAAAACUUCACUUUCGACAUAUAUCCUCAAACAUCAAUGAUGUCUUUUGUAAUUUCUUCAUCACACAACCAUAUACCUAGUUUUCUUUUUGCAUAUCCAUGAAUAUGUUUAGUAUUACAAAAGAUAUAAAAUGAAUCUUAUAUGUUUACUAAAACAAAGAUUAUCAAGAUCCAUCUUACUCUUUUGCAUAUACUCGAAUACCUAUAUGGGAUUAAAGACCUAUGUUUCUACCAUCCGAUCAACAAGAGUUACAACUUUUUUUACGGGGAUAAGACUGAAACAUAUAUGUAUAUCCCAUUUCUACCAUCUGGAAUACUUGAACUACCAUCUAAAUCUAUUGAACAUCGUGUUUCAAAAUACACAAGUUCAAACUAUAAUCAAGUGAAUAGUUUAAGUAUCAUCAUUCGCUUGGAGAGAAAAAUCACAAAACCAUGUCGUUUCAACUCGUAAACCGCCGUAUUUAUUCUAGUGAAACCAAAAAACAGAGAGGAGGAGCCGUGACUGACACAUGCUUGGUAACAAAUCCAUUGUAUCAUCCAAGA